AGGACUUUGUGGAAGCCAAGCUU
rnacentral:piRNA from 1 species